AGAUUUUCUUUAGUUUAUUUCCACUUGCUCUCAGAGUUAGUAAAUAUAAAUGUUGUUGAAAAAUCAUAAACUUUUCCAAUAUGCGUUGGUUUGGCAGUGGCGACAGUCAAACAAAAGACAAUACGGCCAACGUGGUCAAUAAUGUCAAAACCGUAGAUCACACUGAAAAUAUACAAUCUUUGUGGAACUUACUGUUCAUUUUAACAAUCGUAUCAGCUUGUCAAUUUUUGUUGACCAUUUACAUAAAACACAAUAAAAUAAUCAAAAAACCUUAUACUUACUUAGUACAUUGCCAUAUGUACAAGUAAAAAAUUAUAAAUCAAAACCACCCGAUACAAGGGCCAGCAAUAAUAUUUCUUGUGCGACUGCAUCGUUAAGCAUUCCUAAAAUAUUAUGGAAUGGAAUACAUUAGCGAAAACCAUUAAAGACUUCAAAGAUCAAUUUGAUAAGUCACACAAAUGCGUUAAUAAAGAUACACCGAUUAAAGUCGAAACACUAAUAUACCAUGUUCAGAUAUUGGUAAAACAAUAUAAUAACAUAGUACAGGCAGUAAAUGAACUUCAAGAUAACCUCACACAAGAGCAUUCCACACAGUGUCUCAAAUUUAUACAAUCCUUAAAUACAUGAUUGAAAGCUAUCGGUAUUAGACAGAACCUUAAAAUAAAUGUUCCAGAAGAUCUAACUCUAUUGGCUGAUUUUAAUGAAACCCAGCUUAACGACUUAGAUGAGUCUAAACCACUAAUAGACACAGAAAUCAACAGCGAUACAGAAACGAUCGAGGAAAACGACAAAAUGGCACAACAAGUAGCCUUGGAUAGGGAAUAUGUGAAACAAGUCUCAUCAUCUAUCCCUGAAUUUGACGGUAAAAAAACUGUCACUCAGUCGGUUCCUAACAGCUCUACGCAUAGUUGAGAGAACAAAAGGCAACCAAAAGGCAAUCAAAUCAAAGAUAACUGGGCCAAUCUUGUACAAGGUACACGAUGAAACUACAAUCUCUGUCAUAAUAUCUAAACUAAAGGGUAACGUCAAAGGUGAAUCACCUGACGUAUUAAAAGCGAAACUUUUUAACAUUAAACAAAAAGGUAAAACAUCAUCACAAUAUACCGUUGAAAUCGACAACUUGCGAAAGCAACUCGAAGCAGCAUAUAUUGAUGAUGGCUUAGACCAUUACAAUGCAGAAAAAUUCUCUACAAAUAUAUCCAUUGCAGCACUGAAAUGACCGGAAUUGCCAGUACUGUGUUGUAUGACAGAGGCAGGGGUAGAGGUAAUAAUUACCAUUACACCCAAAGAGGUAGACCAAAUGGUCGUGGUAAUUAUAACCCAAAUUACCAAAAUUAUAACACCAACAACAGAGGACCUUAUAGAGGUAAUGCCCGUGGUCAUAACCGAGGAAGGAAUAAUUCCAAACGAGGCAACAACCACAACAAUGGCAAUAAUCAAGUAGGAAAAAAAGACAAGAGGAUAAAUAAAUCCGUGCCUGGAGGCAGUAGAACACAAAGACAAGAGGAUAAAUAAAUCGCUGCCUGGAGGCAGAUGACGAGGAUCGUGGACCGGAAAACUACAAACUACUGAAUCCCAAAGAUGCGACAAACAUGCCCAGCAGACUGCGAGGGACCACUCUACAGCAUACAUUGCAAGUAUACUUGCCAACUAAAGAAGACCAAUACCGGCCCCGCUAGCCAGUAAAGUUGGCAAACAACAACCUGUGCGAAGACCAGCACCGGUACCGCCAGCGCAACAAGCUGUGCCAUUGUGACAAGUGCGAGAGGCAUACCGCCGCUUGCGCCAACGAAGGAGCAUCAGCGUGCCGAUUCCGGUGACGGCCGGAACGAGGGUCCACGAAAACAACAACUCGACCAACUUACCUGUUAAAAUUAUCUCUAAUUAUAAUAUAAUUAAAUUUAAAACAAAUUGUAAAAUUGAGCAGAACCAUUUCUGCCCGAUUAGCAGUGUUUGGUCAAGUAACAGCAGAGACAACACCGACGGCUGCGGACAUCAUCCAAGCAGAAAAUAACAAUCAUAAUUACAGCCUAAGAGCAAAUAGUUUUCGCGCGCUCUUUGUAAGCUGCUGCCCACUCUCUUUCUGCAUUGCUUUGCUUUGCAUUGACUCCCGCUGCCCUUCGCUCUAACUGGCGAGCGUCUUAUUGGAGUUUCGUUUCGUUCGCUUUACAUAUUGUCAUAGUUUUUAGUUUUUCGUUUGAUCGCAACCUAGGCACAACUAAUUCGAGUUGGCUGCCAAGCAACAAUAUAAAAACAUAAUCUCUACUAA